UGCGGUGUGGAGCAGCCCGGUAGCUCGCCAGGCUCAUAACCUGGAGGUCACAGGUUCAAAUCCUGUCGCCGCAA
rnacentral:tRNA from 1 species